UCGAAUUCUGAGGGGGGGAGAGGAAACCUUGACUUCUCGAGGAACAACUGUCGCUGGCCCCUUGGGGCAUGUGCACGUCUUGCCUUGUCGUCGACCUUUCUCUCUCUCUCUCUCAUACCAUCCACACCUGUGCACCCGUCGUAGGUCUUCGAAAGAGGAACUAUGUCUUUCACGUCCCACAUCUAUCGUAUGUCUACAGAAUGUAAUAAAAUGGGCGAUGGCAUUAUA
rnacentral:misc_RNA from 1 species